ensembl:misc_RNA Telomerase-vert Vertebrate telomerase RNA
GCAGGCCGGGAGAGGAGUGGCCAUUUUUAAAAUCUGACCCUAACUGAAACAGGUGUAGGCACUGCACUUUUGCUUCCUCGAGCGCUAUUUUUCUUGCUGACUUUCAGCGGAUGGAAAAGCCACCAUCCAGUCUGAAACAAACAAAAAAAUGUCAGCCGCUGGCUCGGUCACUGCUCCCGGGAACCUAAGAGUCUCGCCCGCCCAGCCCCCCGCUUCUCCCAAAGGGCCCACUGCCUCCACGAAGAGUUGGGCUGUGUCAGCCGCAGGUUUCUCGGGGCCAAGGCGAGGCUCUGACCACAGGGAAAGGAAGAGUUCCCUAAGCUGUGGCAUGUGCAGCCAGGACUUGGCUCAGAUACUU